AUUGAACGCUGGCGGCGUGCCUAAUACAUGCAAGUCGAACGAUGUAACUCAAAGCUUGCUUUGAGUUACUUAGUGGCGAACGGGUGAGUAAUACAUAAGCAACCUGCCUCAAUGCCUGGGAUAACUGCUGGAAACGUCAGCUAAUACUGGAUAGAGUUAAGCGAUACAUGUCGCAUAAUUUAAAGAUGGGAUACAUCACAAUGAGAUGGGCUUAUGAUGCAUUAGCUAGUUGGUAAGGUAACGGCUAACCAAGGAGAAGAGGGGUAGCCGACCGAGAAGGGUGACCGGCCACACUGGGACUGAGACACGGCCCAGACUCCUACGGGAGGCAGCAGUAGGGAAUUUUCGGCAAUGGGGGAAACCCUGACCGAGCAACGCCGCGUGAGUGAAGAAGGCCUUCGGGUUGUAAAGCUCUGUUGUAAGGGAAGAACAAGUAGGAUAGGGAAUGAUCUUACUAUGACGGUACCUUACCAGAAAGCCACGGCUAACUACGUGCCAGCAGCCGCCGUAA
rnacentral:rRNA from 1 species